GUACACUCCUACGGGAGGCAGCAGUGGGGAAUUUUGGACAAUGGGCGAAAGCCUGAUCCAGCAAUGCCGCGUGAGUGAAGAAGGCCUUCGGGUUGUAAAGCUCUUUUGUCAGGGAAGAAACGGUGAGAGCUAAUAUCUCUUGCUAAUGACGGUACCUGAAGAAUAAGCACCGGCUAACUACGUGCCAGCAGCCGCGGUAAUACGUAGGGUGCAAGCGUUAAUCGGAAUUACUGGGCGUAAAGCGUGCGCAGGCGGUUUUGUAAGUCUGAUGUGAAAUCCCCGGGCUCAACCUGGGAAUUGCAUUGGAGACUGCAAGGCUAGAAUCUGGCAGAGGGGGGUAGAAUUCCACGUGUAGCAGUGAAAUGCGUAGAUAUGUGGAGGAACACCGAUGGCGAAGGCAGCCCCCUGGGUCAAGAUUGACGCUCAUGCACGAAAGCGUGGGGAGCAAACAGGAUUAGAUACCCCUGUAGUCCCAUG
rnacentral:rRNA from 1 species